AACCCAGCUGACUUGGGUAUAUUUAAUAUUUGGGAAUUUUUCCCUGGCAACCACCUUAUAUUUGAUUUAAAACACGACACUGUCUUGAAACCAUAUUUUCUGUGGUCACAAUUUAAGCCAACCACUCUUUUAUCUGUAACAGUUUAUGACUCCCACUAUUUUAAUCAUUACAGUACCCUGUUUUUAGUUUAUUCCUUUGUUGUCUUCAGACUAGCUCCUUCCAGCCUUCACAAAAACAAGUGCCAUCCAUUGUCACAAGGACAACUCAAAGGAAAAUGUGAAGAGAUCUGUGCACAACAGUCCCCUGUCUUAGAAAAAAACCAUCAGCAUACAAGUCCUACUGAUACUAUGAAAAGUAACCACCACCUUUUCCCCAGGUCUGCCAGAGUCAUUUUCAAGGUUUCCAGAGGACAAGUGGUUGGAGAGCCGCGUGGCCAGGUGCCUCCCAUCUCCACCAUGAAGCUGUUUACUUCGGUGAUGAUCUACGUUCCCAUCAGCCUCGUCCUCCUGUCCGCUUUCUGGCACACAACUUGCUUAGCAGAAACACACAAUUCCUCAUCGGUGUUUCACGCUCCCGUCUCAGACUCGGCGAACAAGGCACAGUGCUCUAGUCUAGAUUUCUGCUCUCAGGCUGCCCAGUGCUGUAAGCAUGGAAUGAAUGAAGAUGGUUGGAUUGCAGCAGCUAUUGGCUGGAGUCUCUGGUUUCUCACACUCAUUUUGUUCUGUGUGGGUAAACUCAGAAAGAUGACACCUGAUGAAUCCAAGUCCAUACCAGUGUGAAAUUUGGGACUCUAUCGACAAGACUACCAAACUCUUACCAGUUUCCUAAAUGAAGGGAAGGGAAUAGUCUUGCAAUAAGAUUCAUUUUGCUUUUUACAGGAGAACAGAAGAAGAAAUGUCCAAUUUCAGCAAGGUUCUUUCAUGCCUAGUUUCAAAGGGUUACUUGACUCUUGCUAGUUUUCUCUUUCUCUGUCAUUUAAUAUCAGAAUUAUUUCCAUCAACUUUUGUUGAAUUGAGUCAACAGGAAGAAUUUAUGAAAUACCAAUUGUGUUCCCAGCACUAUUGACAUUCAAAGGAUAUCAAAAAAGUAAUAGCCAGUAACCAAGAGCUAUUCCUCAAUAGAUGAAUGGUCAAAGCAUAGGAAGAGUUUUUGAAAGAAUUGCAGAUCAUAAAGUACAUUAACUUCCACUGAGAAAAAGAGAAAUGCAAAUUAAAACAACUCUUGAGUUUUCCCCACUCUAACAUAUAGAGAACUUUGUCAGAUUUAUAAGAAUAAGGGGUACUUCCCAAUUAAUAAAUGUUCAAAGGAUGUGAAUAAACA
rnacentral:lncRNA from 1 species